UGGGGAAUAUUGCACAAUGGGGGAAACCCUGAUGCAGCGACGCCGCGUGAACGAAGAAGUAUUUCGGUAUGUAAAGUUCUGUCAGCAGGGAAGAUAAUGACGGUACCUGACUAAGAAGCACCGGCUAAAUACGUGCCAGCAGCCGCGGUAAUACGUAUGGUGCAAGCGUUAUCCGGAUUUACUGGGUGUAAAGGGAGCGCAGGCGGUGCGGCAAGUCUGAUGUGAAAACCCGGGGCUCAACCCCGGUACUGCAUUGGAAACUGUCGUACUAGAGUGUCGGAGGGGUAAGCGGAAUUCCUAGUGUAGCGGUGAAAUGCGUAGAUAUUAGGAGGAACACCAGUGGCGAAGGCAGCUCACGGGAGCGCAACUGACGCUGAAGCUCGAAAGUGCGGGUAUCGAACAGGAUUAGAUACCCUGGUAGU
rnacentral:rRNA from 1 species